ACCAUAAUGAGGCAAUUUAAGUAAGAUAGAGGUAUAUAUGAAUUGCAGAGGAACCAACAGUAUCAGGCAAGUCUUCUAAAGCAACAUAUUUAAUGUAAGAGAGAUGGAAAACUGAAGAAUAGGGGGAGACCCUGUCUGGAUCCCUUCAACCCCCCCCCCCCCAAAAAAAAAAAAAAAAGAUAUUAAAGCAUGCUAGAUGAGAACAUCUAAGGUGUAAAAAGAAAACAGAAAACUUUUGCUACCCUUGUAUCAUUGUUAUUAAAGACAUUCACAAUGGACAGGAGCCAAGUGAAAGACAGCAUUAUCUUAUCAGUACAUUGUGUUGCUUUAGCGCACAUCCUUUAAGCAAAUUAAAAAGGAUUGUGAUUCAAAAUGAAAGACCAGAUAGCAAUACCUUGUAAAGGCUGAAACUAAAUCAUCUUUUGUAAAACUAUCUUCCUCAGAGCCAAAAUCAUGCAAAUAUAAACAGUCCGGAAUGCUGCAAGGCUG